rnacentral:rRNA from 1 species
GGCGAACGCUGGCGGCGUGCUUAACGCAUGCAAGUCGAACGAGGAUUUUAUAAGCUUGCUUAAAAAAUCCGAGUGGCAAACGGGUGAGUAACGCGUAGGCAACCUGCCUUUCCGAUGGGGACAACAGUUCGAAAGGACUGCUAAUACCGAAUGAUGUGUAUCUUCCACAUGGGAGACACACUAUAGAUGGCCUCUAUUUAUAAGCUAUCGCGGAAAGAUGGGCCUGGGUCUGAUUAGCGAGUUGGUGGGGUAACGGCCUACCAAAGCGACGAUCAGUAGCCGGUCUGAGAGGAUGAACGGCCACAUUGGGACUGAGACACGGCCCAAACUCCUACGGGAGGCAGCAGUGGGGAAUCUUCCACAAUGGACGAAAGUCUGAUGGAGCAACGCCGCGUGAGUGAAGAAGGUCUUCGGAUUGUAAAGCUCUGUUGUCAGGGACGAAUGUUGAGACUGUAAAUAAUGGUUUCAAAUGACGGUACCUGACGAGGAAGCCACGGCUAACUACGUGCCAGAAGCCGCCGUAA